CCCACUGUAGCUCAGUUGGUAGAGCAUGGCGCUUGGAACGCCAGGGUUGUGGGCUCGAUUCCCACGGGGGA
rnacentral:tRNA from 1 species